rnacentral:rRNA from 1 species
UACGAAAGGGGGGCUAGCGUUGCUCGGAAUUACUGGGCGUAAAGGGCGCGUAGGCGGCACUGUUAGUCAGGCGUGAAAUUCCUGGGCUCAACCUGGGGACUGCGCUUGAUACGGCGGAGCUAGAGGAUGGAAGAGGCUCGCGGAAUUCCCAGUGUAGAGGUGAAAUUCGUAGAUAUUGGGAAGAACACCGGUGGCGAAGGCGGCGAGCUGGUCCAUUACUGACGCUGAGGCGC